CCAUCUCUGUGCAUUCUAGAAUUUUCCUAAUUACUGUUUCGUCUGAGGAUACAUUUUUUUGUUUCCAAUUUUUUGCGAAUGUGAUUCUUGCUGUGCCAAGUUGAAUCAAAGUCUUAUUCUGGUACCUGGUGGCCCAAUCCUGUUGGGUCUGGAUGGGAGGCAACAGGCUUAACCUCAAUUCUGAUACACCCGGGUAAACUGAGAACUGACUAUAGUCCUGGAUUUGGAUUUGGAUUUGGAAACGUGCUCACACGUACAUGUAAACAGCCCCUCUUUGAGAGAGAUGGGGAGUGUAGCAAUGUGAAAAAUAAAUAAAUAAAUAAAUCACCUUCGUGCA